UACGUAGGGUGCAAGCGUUUGUCCGGAAUUAUUGGGCGUAAAGAGCUCGUAGGCGGCUUGUCGCGUCUGCUGUGAAAACCCGAGGCUCAACCUCGGGCCUGCAGUGGGUACGGGCAAGCUAGAGUGCGGUAGGGGAGAUUGGAAUUCCUGGUGUAGCGGUGGAAUGCGCAGAUAUCAGGAGGAACACCGAUGGCGAAGGCAGAUCUCUGGGCCGUAACUGACGCUGAGGAGCGAAAGCAUGGGGAGCGAACAGG
rnacentral:rRNA from 1 species